UUUAAUUUGUACAGUUUUAUCUUGUUAUUCGUAUGUAAAUGUAGUAUAAUAAAUUCAGUAUCUUUAUGCUAGGGUAAUGUAUUUAAUAGUUUGCGUUUUUAUAUUCAAGAUAAACCGACCACGUGUACGGUUCUCGAAAUUGUGUUUGGUGAUCAGCUUUAUCUUGUCAGUCGUUGUACAUUUAGUAUACAGUAUAUAAUUUGAGUUUUUAGAUUCAAGAUACACCAACCACGUGUUUGUAUGAUUAUAGAAAUGGUGUUUCCUGAAUAACAUAACUAUAAAAUAUUAAAAGUGAACUAUUUAACAAAGCUUAAAUUCUAGAAUAAUUGUAUUUUUGCUUUUAAUUGGAAUUAUUGUCUAUAUCAUUGUUUGCUUUCCGUUUUUAUUAACAAGACUAUUUUUAUGGUUUUAUAAUGCUACCACGUCUAAAAGACGUCGUGCAGAAGUCGCACAAGCGCUUCAAGCCAUGGGCGCGGAACCGAGACAGAGGGCCGUUCACGUGGAACCCAUAAUGACGACACCGGAAAUUGACCCAGAGGAAUCGUCCGAGCCGGGAACAAGCGAGCAAGAAAGCGAGAAAGUAUUGGCGAGUUUUUCAACCUCCCUUAGAAACAUACAUCGUCAAGGCUGGGACUUCCAUGAACACACUUCCCUUCUUGUCACAGGGAUUUGACACUAUAUACUGCUUUUUCCCGCCGUUCUCGGGGGAAUCUGUUUAUCAAGGUGCCUGAACCACGUGACUUUUUCGGCUAUGUGUGGGACAAUCGGAUGUAAACAAAACGUCGCUUCAGACUUGAAAAGGAUUAGUCGAAAGAUCUGUAACGCUUUUAAAGUUCGAAGGUGUGUAAGAACUACAUGAACACCAUCAAACCACACGGAAGGUGAUAUGCGGCAAGUCAAUUAUCAAAACCACAGUGACAGAGACAGGGACCCAGCUCCAUUCUGUGAUGUUUAUGGAAAGCUAUUUCAACUAACUAUGCAAACAUACGAUUUAACAUGUAUUUUUGCAUAAGCAAAACAAAGUGUGUGUAUUGAUAUGUGUGAAUAUUUAUGGGUUUUGUAUCUAUGUUAUUACUAAAAUUGAUUAGAUGAAUAUAAAAUCUGAUUAUGUGUGUUCAUAAAACAGGUGUUUCAUAACAAAUAACA